rnacentral:rRNA from 1 species
AGCAGCCGCCGCGGUAAUACCAGCACCUCGAGUGGUCAGGAGGUUUAUUGGGCCUAAAGCAUCCGUAGCCGGUUGCAUAAGUUUUCGGUUAAAUCUAUGCGCUUAACGUAUAGGCCGCCGUAAAUACUGUGCAGCUAGGGAGUGGGAGAGGUACACGGUACUCGAUAGGAAGGGGUAAAAUCCUUUGAUCUAUUGAUGACCACCUGUGGCGAAGGCGGUGUACCAGAACACGUUCGACGGUGAGGGAUGAAAGCUGGGGGAGCAAACCGGAUUAGAUACCCCCGUAGUCCCUGUCUCUUAUAC